rnacentral:rRNA from 1 species
AUUGAACGCUGGCGGCAUGCUUUACACAUGCAAGUCGAACGGUAACAGGUUAAGCUGACGAGUGGCGAACGGGUGAGUAAUGCAUCGGAACGUGCCCGAUCGUGGGGGAUAACGCAGCGAAAGCUGCGCUAAUACCGCAUACGAUCUGAGGAUGAAAGCGGGGGACCGUAAGGCCUCGCGCGAUCGGAGCGGCCGAUGUCAGAUUAGGUAGUUGGUGGGGUAAAGGCUCACCAAGCCAACGAUCUGUAGCUGGUCUGAGAGGACGACCAGCCACACUGGGACUGAGACACGGCCCAGACUCCUACGGGAGGCAGCAGUGGGGAAUUUUGGACAAUGGGCGAAAGCCUGAUCCAGCAAUGCCGCGUGCAGGAAGAAGGCCUUCGGGUUGUAAACUGCUUUUGUACGGAGCGAAAAGGUCUCCUCUAAUACAGGGGGCUCAUGACGGUACCGUAAGAAUAAGCACCGGCUAACUACGUGCCAGCCGCCGCAGUAA